AGCUUUGAAGUGUCACCACGUUAGAUUGCAAAUCUGAAAAAGCAGGGUAACUACCUGCCGGGGCUU
rnacentral:tRNA from 1 species